GGGAGCGGUAGUGUAGCGGUUAGCGCGCUGCGCUAUGAAGCCGGCGACCCAAGUUCGACACCAGUGACGAUUAUCUGAACCGGUCCCGGGCCUCCCCGCGGUCGACUUGGUCUCAAAUGAGGAUUUCUGUGCGAGUCCAUGGGCAUCAGUCUGCGGGAGUGAAUUCCAAGUGGCCGGAAUAGCACCAGAGAAGCGACGUUCGCCAUGCCUCGUGUGUGACAAGGAGUGCACUUGAGGCGAUUGCGAGACGGAUCGUACGACCUCUGGUGGGCCCACAGCAAGACCUCGGGGAAGUGGUCUGCAGAACUGUUGCACGCACACAAGAGGGACUUGUGGGGAUCAGAGGACCAUGCGUCAUCACACAGGUGGCAUGGGCUCCACCGCUCCAAACAGGAGGCAUGACACACGCACGUUAAAUAGCAUCGCUGGUAACCAUUUGACCUUGGCCUGGAGAAGGCUAAUUGGGCAAAAUAUAUUUCCAAACUUCGAUUGUUCUACAUCAUUAUUUUAAUUGCCGUGUGUUUCCA